AGAGUUUCCUUCUGGCUCAGGAUGAACGCUGGCGGCAUGCCUAAUACAUGCAAGUCGAACGAGAGGAAGGAAAGCUUGCUUUUCUGAAUCUAGUGGCGAACGGGUGAGUAACACGUAGGUAACCUGCCCAUGUGUCCGGGAUAACUUCUGGAAACGGAUGCUAAAACCGGAUAGGUAGCAGACAAGCAUUUGACUGCUAUUAAGGUGGCUUUGGCCAUGAACAUGGAUGGACCUGCGGUGCAUUAGCUGGUUGGUGAGGUAACGGCCCACCAAGGCGACGAUGCAUAGCCGGCCUGAGAGGGCGGACGGCCACAUUGGGACUGAGACACGGCCCAAACUCCUACGGGAGGCAGCAGUAGGGAAUUUUCGUCAAUGGGGGGAACCCUGAACGAGCAAUGCCGCGUGAGUGAGGAAGGUCUUCGGAUCGUAAAGCUCUGUUGUAAGAGAAAAACGGCACUCAUAGGGAAUGAUGAGUGAGUGAUGGUAUCUUACCAGAAAGUCACGGCUAACUACGUGCCAGCAGCCGCGGUAAUACGUAGGUGGCGAGCGUUAUCCGGAAUGAUUGGGCGUAAAGGGUGCGUAGGUGGCAGAUCAAGUCUGGAGUAAAAGGUAUGGGCUCAACCCGUACUGGCUCUGGAAACUGAUCAGCUAGAGAACAGAAGAGGACGGCGGAACUCCAUGUGUAGCGGUAAAAUGCGUAGAUAUAUGGAAGAACACCGGUGGCGAAGGCGGCCGUCUGGUCUGGAUUCUGACACUGAAGCACGAAAGCGUGGGGAGCAAAUAGGAUUAGAUACCCUAGUAGUCCACGCCGUAAACGA
rnacentral:rRNA from 1 species